rnacentral:lncRNA from 10 species
GCUGAGCCCAUUCACCUCGCGGCCACAGGAGCUCAGCGCCGGCGCCGCGCCGCCCAGCCCCGCCGAGAGGGGCGCACUCGCCGCCGCGGGGCCCGCCGCCGCUCACCGCAGCCCCCUCCUGGCGACCCGCAAGGUAGCAUUCUUUGCUUAUCCAAUGAUGCCUCUUUCUAACCUCUCCCUCUCCACUUACAUCCCAAACCUGAUGCGGGUCUUCUCUGAUUCGGCACUCUAAGGAGGACUCAGCCGCCGGCUGCGACCACCGUGGACUCCCUCUAUGGAAGGGAAUCCUGGGAGUCCCGGCCGUCAGAGGGGUUCCCAAAUCCAAAGGGUCCAUCUCCAAGGCGUCACUCCAGGGGUCCGCGGUUCACUUUGCUGCCCCUUGCAGGUGAUGCUGUGAUUGUUGCCUGCGGACUGGGAAGCACGAUGGCUCCAAAAGGCCAGCGGGGCCGAGAAGCAGGGACAGAGACCAGCAUUUAAGGGAUCUCUGGUGGGGGCCUCCCUGGAGUUCUCCACAUGUAAAUAUAGCGAAAAAAGAAAACACUACGUUACUAGAAUAAACACGUCCUAAAAUUUCUGUGCAAAAACACCUUUUUGAACAGCAAAGAUUUCACCCACCAAAACAAGGAAGCAAGAA